CUGUGCCAGGUGUGCACCGGAGUUCUUCCGCGCCGUCCAGGCUGCGCUGACGACUGCUCGUUACGUUGUGCCGGCC
rnacentral:sRNA from 4 species